GUCUACAGCCAUGCUCCCCUGAACAAGCCCAAUCUAUCUGAUCUCAGAAGCUAAGCAGGGUCUGGCCUGGUUAGUACUUGGAUGGGGGACCACCUAGGAAGACCAGGUGCUGUAGGCG
rnacentral:rRNA from 1 species